UACGAAGGGGGCUAGCGUUGCUCGGAAUUACUGGGCGUAAAGCGCACGUAGGCGGCUCUUUAAGUCGGGGGUGAAAUCCUGGAGCUCAACUCCAGAACUGCCUUCGAUACUGGAGAGCUUGAGUUCGGGAGAGGUGAGUGGAACUGCGAGUGUAGAGGUGAAAUUCGUAGAUAUUCGCAAGAACACCAGUGGCGAAGGCGGCUCACUGGCCCGAUACUGACGCUGAGGCACGAAAGCGUGGGGGAGCAAACAGG
rnacentral:rRNA from 1 species